GACGAACGCUGGCGGCGUGCCUAACACAUGCAAGUCGAACGGCAAGGCCGUUAUUUAUUUGGGUGCUAGAGUGGCGAACGGGUGCGUAACACGUAUGCAACCUGCCCUCGACUUUGGGAUAGCUUCAGGAAACUGGGGUUAAUCCCGGAUAGGACCACCAGAUGCCUGGUGGGGGUGGUAAAGCCUCGGCGGGUGGGGGUGGACUCGCGGCUUGUCUGCUUGUUGGUGGGGUAGUGGGUUACCAAGGCCUUGACGGAUAGCCGGCCUGAGAGGGUGACCGGCGACAUUGGGACUGAGCUACGGCGCAGACUCCUACGGGAGGCAGCAGUGGGGAAUAUUACACAAUGGGAGGAAGCCUGAGGCAGCGACGCCGCGUGUGGGAGGACGGCCUUCGGGUUGUAUACCGCUUACGCCUGUGACCGCGCGGGAUUGACGGUAAUAGGUGAAGAAGCACCGGCUAACUACGUG
rnacentral:rRNA from 1 species